GGCGGGACACGUGAUAUCCUGUCUGAAUAUGGGGGGACCAUCCUCCAAGGCUAAAUACUACUGACUGACCGAUAGUGAACCAGUACCGUGAGGGAAAGGCGAAAAGAACCCCUGUGAGGGGAGUGAAAUAGAACCUGAAACCGUGUACGUACAAGCAGUAGGAGCAGGCUUUGUCCUGUGACUGCGUACCUUUUGUAUAAUGGGUCAGCGACUUAUAUUCAGUGGCAAGGUUAACCAUCUAGGGGAGCCGUAGGGAAACCGAGUCUUAACUGGGCGUUCAGUCUCUGGAUAUAGACCCGAAACCAGGUGAUCUAGCCAUGGGCAGGUUGAAGGUUGAGUAACAUCAACUGGAGGACCGAACCGACUAAUGUUGAAAAAUUAGCGGAUGACUUGUGGCUAGGGGUGAAAGGCCAAUCAAACCUGGAGAUAGCUGGUUCUCCCCGAAAGCUAUUUAGGUAGCGCCUCGGACGAAUACUACUGGGGGUAGAGCACUGUUAAGGCUAGGGGGUCAUCCCGACUUACCAACCCUUUGCAAACUCCGAAUACCAGUAAGUACUAUCCGGGAGACACACGGCGGGUGCUAACGUCCGUCGUGGAGAGGGAAACAACCCAGACCGCCAGCUAAGGUCCCAAAUUACUACUAAGUGGGAAACGAUGUGGGAAGGCUCAGACAGCCAGGAUGUUGGCUUAGAAGCAGCCAUCAUUUAAAGAAAGCGUAAUAGCUCACUGGUCGAGUCGGCCUGCGCGGAAGAUGUAACGGGGCUAAGUAGUAAACCGAAGCUGCGGCAAUGUGCUUUUGCACAUUGGGUAGGGGAGCGUUCUGUAAGCGGUUGAAGGUGUGUGGUAACGCAUGCUGGACGUAUCAGAAGUGCGAAUGCUGACAUGAGUAACGAUAAAGGGGGUGAAAAACCUCCUCGCCGGAAGACCAAGGGUUCCUGUCCAACGUUAAUCGGGGCAGGGUAAGUCGACCCCUAAGGCGAGGCCGAAAGGCGUAGUCGAUGGGAAACGGGUUAAUAUUCCCGUACUUCUUACAAUUGCGAUGGGGGGACGGAGAAGGCUAGGUGGGCCUGGCGACGGUUGUCCAGGUUCAAGUGCGUAGGCUUAAGAGUUAGGUAAAUCCGGCUCUUUUUAAGGCUGAGACACGACGUCGAGCACCUACGGGUGUGAAGUCAUUGAUGCCAUGCUUCCAGGAAAAGCCUCUAAGCUUCAGAUUGUAAGGAAUCGUACCCCAAACCGACACAGGUGGUCGGGUAGAGAAUACCAAGGCGCUUGAGAGAACUCGGGUGAAGGAACUAGGCAAAAUGGUACCGUAACUUCGGGAGAAGGUACGCUCUUGAUGGUG
rnacentral:rRNA from 1 species